UACGGUAGGGGGCAAGCGUUGUCCGGAUUUAUUGGGCGUAAAGAGCUCGUAGGCGGUUUGGUAAGUCUGGUGUGAAAUCUCCACGCUCAACGUGGAGGGGCCACCCGAUACUGCCAUGACUGGAGUCCGGUAGAGGAGUGUGGAAUUCCCGGUGUAGCGGUGAAAUGCGUAGAUAUCGGGAGGAACAUCAGUGGCGAAGGCGGCCCUCUGGUCCAGUACUGACACUCAAGUGCGAAAGCGUGGGGAGCAAACAGG
rnacentral:rRNA from 1 species